rnacentral:misc_RNA from 1 species
GUAUUGUAUUGCGUUAAACGCGACAAACAUUCCAUGAGACUUUAUGGCAGUGUGUGUGUAAAUACAUAGAACCACAGCAAGGGGACAAAGUCACCCAGGCCAUAGAACUACAGAGGGUGCACAGGUGUGGGUGGAUGUGUAAACAGAGCGUGCACGUGCCCCCCUUCGAGGGCCAGCAACAACUCGUGUCGACAAUUCGGUAAUGAUCCUUCCGCAGGUUCACCUACGGAAA